rnacentral:rRNA from 1 species
AUUAGCGGCGGACGGGUGAGUAACACGUGAGUAACCUGCCUUAGACAUUGGGAUAGCCUCGGGAAACCGGGAUUAAUACCAAAUAAAAUCAUAAUGACACAUGUCAUAACGAUCAAAACUCCGGUGGUCUAAGAUGGACUCGCGUCCCAUUAGCUAGUUGGUAGAGUAAAAGCCUACCAAGGCGACGAUGGGUAGCCGGCCUGAGAGGGUGAACGGCCACAUUGGAACUGAGAUACGGCCCAG